UCAGUGGCCCCAAGGUCAUUUGACAAGUCAACAACAUGGACAGGCCAGCCUCUGUUCCUGGAGUAGUAGCUUGGACAGGAGGGAAACCCAGACGCUCUGCUUAUAGGCACAGCCAGCACGAGCAACUCAGGGUUGGCAUGUAGACAAGCGGAGCGAGGGAUUGGACCCACAACCUUCCAGUUGAGGGCAUCUACCAUUGAGACACCGUCGCCCAAGAUUGGAAGGAAUCUGUAUAGGUAUUGGGAUUAGAAUAGAACAGUGACAUGUUAACACCUAUUGUAGCCUUGUACCGACAAGUCUUGAACCUGCAAUAAAGCUAAUUUGCAUCAUU